GGCAGGGUAGCUCAGUUGGUAGAGCACUGGUUGCAUGUACCAGAGACCCGGGUUCGAGUCCCGGCCCUGCCA